UCAAACAGUGCCAUCUGGGAUUCAAUUUAACUUGCGAAUUUCCUGAAUUAAAAAAAGAAAGGGUGUCCUGAAUAUAAAAAUCAGACGCCAAGCCCUGGACUUGAGGUUUCUUAGUAGAAAUACACUGCCAAAGGAAAGAUCGCUUAAGCCCUGGAGUUUGAGCUUACAGUGAGCUAUGAUCAUGCCACUACACUCCAGCCUGACUGACAGAGCAGGACAAGCGGAAGGACGAGUCAGAAAAGCUUCCGGGAAGAGGCAGGGCAUGAGAGGCUCAUCAGAAAAUUCAGCCAUAACAUAGGAAUGUGAAGCAGACGGGGGAGCAGGAAGUUCUCGGAAGGCUGGCUGACCCCAGAGGCCCUUGGUAACCAGAAGUGACAGUUGAGGAACGAGGAGUCCUGGAGCAGGAGAGGAAAAGGUGGCAACUGAGCUAAGAGGUUUUCAGGCUCAUCUCUCUUUAGCUAUCAACUGGUAAAAGAGAGAGCACAUCUACUCAACUGCCUCAGUCAAGGGAUCCCACAUCACUUCUAUUUUACCGCAUCUCAAUGGUGAGAACUAGUCACGUGCCUCUCCUAGAUUCAAGGAGAGCUGGGAAAAGCAGUCAGCCCAGGAAGAAGGAGACAGAGGCUCUAAGGCAGUUGUCAAGAAUUACUGCAGCCCAGAGAAAGGACGGGGAGAAUGACAGUGACUCAUCAAGAAGACUUAUAAGCUGAUUGGGCAACUCAUGAUCAAAGCUGUUAGCUACCCAAAGGGAUAGCAGGAUAAAUUACAGCCAGAAGAAUUAACAAUUUUGUAAUUGGCAUCUUACAUUGUGAAGGCUCAUUCCAGUCACCUGUCACCGAGCUUUUAAAGUUUAGGGGAAAGCAUUUGGGGGUGCCUGACUCUGUGUGUUUAUAUCUUGCUUGCAACAACUGAAGGAUGGGUUUCUGAGAACAAGGGUGAGAUACGUAUUUAUAAAUGAAAUCUUUUCCAUGGG